ACACGUAAGUGGCAAGCGUUGUUCGGAUUUAUUGGGCGUAAAGGGCGCGUAGGCGGUGCGUCAAGCUUGGUGUAAAAUACCCCGGCCCAACCGGGGGGAUGCGCUGAGAACUGUCGUGCUAGAGUUCAGGAGGGGGAGCUGGAAUUCCAGGUGUAGGGGUGAAAUCUGUAGAUAUCUGGAAGAACACCGGUGGCGAAGGCGAGCUCCUGGCCAUGAACUGACGCUGAGGCGCGAAAGUGUGGGGAGCGAACAGGAUUAGAUACCCUGGUAGUCCACACUGUAAACGAUGUACACUAGGUGUCCGGGAGAAAUCCUGGGUACCGGAGCUAACGUGAUAAGUGUACCGCCUGGGGAGUAUGCCCGCAAGGGUGAA
rnacentral:rRNA from 1 species